rnacentral:lncRNA from 12 species
GCAAUUCUGGGACCAGGGGCCAACAGUUUAUUGUCAGUUCUUACUUCAUUUCCUACCAUGAUAAGGAUGAGCCAUGAGAAAAAAUAAACCAUCUUUCUGGUUUUGUCAUCUCCUGUUAGAAUGCAACCGAAACUCUACCCUUGAUACGAGGAACAAAUAUAGGAACAAAUUUGAGAAGCUGGGAUCCUGGCUAAAAACCUGUGUGUGAUUUUUCAGGCCCGGCGGGGAGCGGUCACAAAGGCUUCACCUGGCAGGCCUCCUGCAGGCGCAUCCCCGGCUCUGCAGGACUCGUGCCGGCUGACCAUCUGCCCUCCCGGCCCAGCCGCCUCCAUCCGGAGGUCCACUUCUCGGGACCCUUGAAGACGUCUUGCCCCCAUGGCUCCGGUAUCAGGGACAAGAUUGGGUGUAGCAGAGACCGAAUCCUGUUGAGUCCUGAAGAGGUGAGGGGUCUCCAGAAACCAGAAGUCCGGUGAAGUUGGAAGAGGGUGGCUGCGAGAACAGUUCAUCUCGUCUCUUUUAUCCACUUAACAUCUUCAAAGCAGACGCUGUGUGGGUGCCCCUCUCCAGAUUUCCAAUGGCUGCUGUAGAUAUUUAUAUAAACAUCUACAGUAUUUUUUUCCCCAUGCUCCUGGGGGGAAAAAUUAUGUUUUACUUGAAGAAGCUUUAUGACUGUCCUGAUUCCUCCAGUUCUUGUAGUGAUUAAUCUCCAAGUUUCUCAAUAGCUUUGGUUCCAAACUCCUGCUGCACAUCAGGAUCAUCAGUAUUACCCGGGGAGCCUUCCUGGGAGUCCGGGUGUGGACGCCACUGCUGGAUAGCCUGUCGCUCGCAGUGAGGUCCGAGGACCAGCUGUGCUGGCAUCACCUGAGAGCUCUUGAGAAAUGCAAGACCAUUGGCUGCGCCAUAGACGCAUUGAAUCAAAAUCGGCAACAGAGACCCCCAUGUGAUUCUACGCACCUUAGUGUCUAAGGAGCAUCUACAGAACAUGGUCAACAGACCUGGUCCCUCUCUCCUCCAUUCCUACUCUCAAAAAUUCUGGCUUCUACCUAAUUAAGAACAUUAUGCAGUGCACUUCAAUUUGAUGUAUUCUUCACCUGGGCCUUGCUCCAACAAAAUUUAAAUCCUAUCUGAGACCAUAGGUAAGAAUAGGUUUUAAG